AAAAUUUCCAUAAGUAUGGAUCAUCCCAAACAUAUUGUCUAGCUUCACUUUUUAACUUUUCCUUUUGGGAUUUGGAAAAUUCUUUAGGAAAAUAUGCACUUACCAAAUAAUUCACCGUAUCUGCAUACCAGGGAAUCUCAGCAUGGAUGGAAAGUAAUUGCUCAUCCGGGAAAAAAAUCAUGUAACGGUAGCUCCUCCUCGUCUCUGAAUAACCUACUCAAGUUAUCCGCUACUAAGUUAUCCGCAC
rnacentral:lncRNA from 1 species